UCCCCGGUGGCUCAGAUGGUAAAGCGUCUGCCUACAAUGCUGGAGACCUGGGUUAGAUCCCUGGGUGGGGAA
rfam:Ovis aries breed Texel chromosome 5, whole genome shotgun sequence.